UUUCAAGUAAAGAUAGCAAUGAUGAUAUUCUUCAAUCAAUAAUAGUAAAAAGUAAAACUGACAAAAAAGAAAAAGGAAAAGCAAAGUUAAAACAAAAAAGUAAAGUGAAAAGAAAAGAGAAGAAAAAGAAGGACACUUCGUCCUCAUCUGAUUAAAAGGCAGAAGGAACCUUAUUCCUUCACGUGUCUCUACAGUAAAAGGCAAACUCCAAUGGCC
rnacentral:lncRNA from 1 species